ACUUAAGCAGAUCUGACUCUAGGGCGAGAGAUCGAAAUAAAAGGACUGCAAAAGUUGAUUCGCUCUCGUUUAAAAGUAGUUUAAACUCUCGUUUUUUAUAUAGUCAAGAAUGCUUUUGUUAAUGUUAAUAUUGAUUUGUCCUUUCAUUUCUCUUACAAGCAAUGCGAAUCCAGAGAAGCAUUACCUGCACUACAUGUUUACAGUCCUGACCAAAGCAGAUCUAUUCCCAGAGUUCACUGUUGUGGGUGUUGUUGAUGACAGACUGAUCUCAAACUACAGUAUUGAAGUUCCAGAUUGGACAAGACUAAUUCUGACAGAAGAUUAUGGGAUUGAGACUCUUGUACAAUCACGUGACUCUGAAGACUGGUUUAUGGCUCAGGUACACAUUCUGUCAAACUGCACAAAUUGUUCUGAUUCACCAGAGGUUUACAUCUCUGCAAGGAGAGAUUCUGAUGAUCACACAAAGCUGAAUCUGAGCUGUCUGGCCACUAGUUUCUAUCCCAGAGAUAUUAAAAUGAAUAUCAGAUUGAAUGGAUCUGUUCUUGACAACCAAACAUCUUCUGAAAUCAGACCAAAUGCUAAUGAAACAUUUCAGAUGAGAACCAGUGUGAAGAUCGACAUAAACUCUGAAGGAUCUUAUGACUGUUUUAUCCUUCACAACAGUCUGACAGAACCAGCUUCACUAGAAUGGGGUAAAUAUCACCAUGAAUACAGUCAAGUACAUACAUUUGUAACAGGAAAAUAUAACGAUGCUGAAAUAGAUUAA